CGAACCGUCCAAACGUUAUUCGGAAUUACUGGGCUUAAAGGGUAUGUAGGCGGCGCUGUUAGUCGGGUGUGAAAUCCCUCGGCUCAACCGAGGAAUUGCGCCCGAUACUGCAGUGCUUGAGGGAGACAGAGGUAAGCGGAACUGAUGGUGGAGCGGUGAAAUGCGUUGAUAUCAUCAGGAACAUCGGUGGCGAAAGCGGCUUACUGGGUCUCUUCUGACGCUGAGAUACGAAAGCUAGGGGAGCGAAGGGGAUUAGAUACCCCCGUAGUCCUAGCUGUAAACGUUGAGCACUUGAUCGAGGGCCCCCCCAUAGGCUCCCGGUCGUAGCGAAAGUGUUAAGUGCUCCGCCUGGGGAGUAAGGUCGCAAGGCUG
rnacentral:rRNA from 1 species